UACGUAGGGAGCAAGCGUUGUCCGGAAUCAUUGGGCGUAAAGCGCGCGUAGGUGGCCCCGUAAGUCCGCUGUGAAAGUCAAAGGCUCAACCUUUGAAAGCCGGUGGAUACUGUGGGACUAGAGUACGGAAGAGGCGAGUGGAAUUCCUGGUGUAGCGGUGAAAUGCGCAGAUAUCAGGAGGAACACCGGUGGCGAAGGCGGUUCUCUGGGCAUUACCUGACGCUGAGGAGCGAAAGUGUGGGGAGCGAACAGG
rnacentral:rRNA from 1 species